UAGUGAUCUCACCUGGCGUGGGUCGAUGACUGUUAAUCAUCAGAUGAUAGGUUCGAGUCCUAUACUACCAGCCA
rnacentral:tRNA from 1 species